AACUCACAGGUAGAGGAGAGAUAUGACUAUAUGAGUCUUCUGCGAGAGCGAGAGAGAGUGAAGGCUUAUCCCAGAGAGAGGAAGGACAGGACACGGGAAGAGGAAGAACAAUUCAAUACAUCAAGUUGUGGUAUUUCAGUUCCUGAUUGAAUUUGGAAGAAACUGACUUCAAGUGAAUCAUAUCAUUCCCGAGGUAUCAGGCAAGGUGUGUUACUGCAUUCCUUUAAUGACCAAAUUUCUUUGCCAAGUUAUCUCUCCUGUGGCCCUGUGUGCAAAGCUAGGCUAAACUAAACUCACACCCAACUACUUUGCAAAGCUGUUUGAGGCUAUAUCAAUACAGAGAGAAACUGAAUGAAUAAUCUGGAGUGAAUUACAGAAUUGUUCAUUUCUUAUUUGUGUACUUUUGAUGUUUCUGAAUCAGAAUCAGAAUCAGAGCAUAUGAGUUUUGUAUUAGUAUUUCAUAUUCUGCAUGCCUUUUUUUUUUUUUUUAG
rnacentral:lncRNA from 1 species